GGCGGAAUGGCCGAGCGGUCUAAGGCGUUGGAUUUAAGACCCAAUAUCGUAAGAUGCGUGGGUUCGAACCCCACUUCCGUCA
rnacentral:tRNA from 2 species